rnacentral:rRNA from 1 species
GACGAACCGUGCGAACGUUGUUCGGAAUCACUGGGCUUAAAGGGCGCGUAGGCGGGCCGCCAAGUCUGGAGUGAAAGCCCACGGCUCAACCGUGGAAGCGCUUCGGAUACUGGCGGCCUCGAGGGGUGCAGGGGCGUGCGGAACUUCCGGUGGAGCGGUGAAAUGCGUAGAUAUCGGAAGGAACGCCGGUGGCGAAAGCGACGUGCUGGACCUUUUCUGACGCUGAGGCGCGAAAGCCAGGGGAGCAAACGGG